GCCCCUAUAGCUCAGUGGUAGAGCUCCGGACUUUUAAUCCGUAGGUCGCGGGUUCGAGCCCCGCUGGGGGUA
rnacentral:tRNA from 1 species